GUGACCUGCAUGGCUGCUACACUUCGCGUCCAGAGUAGCAUUGCUGUGGUGACGAAGAGGGUGACACACUGGAACACCACCACAGGCUUGUAACGCAGCCAGUCAGUCAGCAGGAACACGGGCACCAGCACAGACAGAUUCUUGUCCGGUCCUGUCAAGUAUGGGAUGAGAAAAGGCUCCAGGGGCUUAACUGUGCUGAAGAAUCCAUACAUGCACAGCAGAGUAGUGGGAUACCUCCAGUCUGCCCUCCACCUCCUCACUGCCUCCAUCUUCUGCCGGUCUUCUACCUGUUUCAGCCCAGGUCACCUUGAUGUGGCCCACGGAGAAGGCCGCUGCAGCACCUGGCCCGCGGAGGAGAAAGAUGAAGUGAUUAAUCUGUCAUUCCAGUGGACAACACCUCCACUGUGCCUGUGCAGCCUUGUUGUGAAUCAUUCAUUAAUCCUAACAACAUUUCUUUCCUUGAACGUUGGUACAAAGGACAAUGCAGCCUCUAAACAAAACUUCGUGCAAAGGCCUUUGCUGGCCUCCGCAGCACCUGGCUAUUAUGAUGAACCACUUCCACCUGACUCCUGGAAUCAAUGAUCAGCAAUAAUCAGAGAAUCCAUUACCUCCUAACUCUAUCUCCUUAAUUGAAGCAAUUACUCUUCUUCUCAUGCUGAGCCAGGUUGAGCAUAAGCCAACAGGACCAUGGUGCUGCUAUUCCCUUUCAAAAUCAAUAAACAUUUUCCAUUUAAUCAGGCAUCCUAUAAAACCAAGAAUGGCAUGGUUGUUUUCUUUUAAUUGCAAGUUUUUAUAGGUCUAUGUGCCAUCAGACAUGGCAGCUUUUAAUAACAUUGUUAAAUUUUAUUUUGCUCUAUAUAAUGUGAUUGUGCUGCAAACUUCUGCUCCCUGCCGUGUUAAUUUUGCUCCUGAUUCCUGUUCUCAAUGUGGUGAUCAUCCCCUGCUUCUGUCAAAUUUUUGUUCUUCUUUGAUUUUACACUGUCCAAAAGCAACUUUCACUCUUUCUUUAAAUGUGUGCACAUUAUUCUGCUUUUUUUUUUAAUGUCCUGUUUCGAUGAAAAUGCUUUUGGAAGGUAAUAUUUACAUAAAGGAUAAAGCUGGCGAUAUUCUAUAUUUCUGUUAUUGUCAACAAAUCCCAUAAAAAGACCAAAACCAACGAUAUGUUACUCUGUCUCUCAAUACUUUCUGACUUCCAUACCCUGUGGCAUUCAGCCCCAAGCCCAUUCUUUUCCAUUGAAGACGUAAAUCUUCACAAAUGGGUAGCAAAUAUAUUCUUUCUAUAUAUUUAAAUAUAGGCUAAAUAAUUCCCUAAAACAGUUCUUGGCAAAUAUUACUCAAACAGGAGUAAAUUGUGUUUUUUUUCUCUCUUAGGAACCAGAUUUUCAGCAAUGAAUGGGAUGGUGUAUGUGGGACAACUCAAAAUAAACCACAGUGCCCACAUUCAUUGUAAUGACGGAACAUACCAGUGCAACAGUGUGGCUAAUUGGUGUGUUUUUAAUAUGGCACAGAGGAAUGAGCUAUAUCAUGGGAUUUGUUGACAUUAAGAAAAAUAAAGAAUAUCACCAGACUUAUCCUUUAAGUACUGUACAUGUUGAUACUGAAUCAGACUGAAGUAGCUCAAGUAUGAUCUUACCAGAAAUGGGAACCACAAAAUAUAGUUUUUCUCUUUCUCUUUCUGUAUGGUUUUCUUUCUUACACACACACACACACACACACACACACACACAUACUG